ensembl:lncRNA
GGAGGUCUCACGGGUUUGGAACGACAUGAGGAAACAGCAUGGCUCACCAGCAAUAAACUCCUCAUACUCAAUGACUGGUAUGUUAGCCUGCAGGCUGGUUAUGCUGAAGAACUCCCCCCACGGGAUGCGAACCUGAUGUAUAUCAGGACUCUGCCAGUGAUACAGAUGACCCCAUGGAGGCAACACUAGCACCCAGUCACCAUUUUUUCUCAAUGUCUUCAGCAAAGAGGCCAUGCGAAUGUACACAUCUCGGCGAAGAUUAAAGCCCUCGGGUGGAUUUACAUCAUAUAGGAGGUAUCUGAGCAUUG